rnacentral:rRNA from 1 species
AUACGGAGGGUCCGAGCGUUAUCCGGAAUCAUUGGGUUUAAAGGGUCCGUAGGCGGACUAUUAAGUCAGAGGUGAAAUCCCACAGCUCAACUGUGGAACUGCCUUUGAUACUGGUAGUCUUGAGUUAUAUGGAAGUAGAUAGAAUGUGUAGUGUAGCGGUGAAAUGCAUAGAUAUUACACAGAAUACCGAUUGCGAAGGCAGUCUACUACGUAUAUACUGACGCUAAGGGACGAAAGCGUGGGGAGCGAACAGGAUUAGAAACCCCAGUAGUCC